ACGGGGGCAAUUGCCCCAGUAACGGCGAGUGAAGCGGCAAAAGCUCAAUUUUGAAAUCCCCCCGGGGAGUUGUAAUUUGAAGACUAGGGGAUUUGGCCCAAACCUGCGCAAGUCCAUUGGAACAUGGCGCCCAAGAGGGUGAGAGCCCCGUCGCGCAGGCCGCAGCCUUGACAUCCCCCCGUCAAAGAGUCGAGUUGUUUGGGAAUGCAGCUCAAAGUGGGUGGUAAAUUCCAUCUAAAGCUAAAUAUUGGCGAGAGACCGAUAGCGAACAAGUACAGUGAUGGAAAGAUGAAAAGCACUUUGAAAAGAGAGUGAAACAGUACGUGAAAUUGUUGAAAGGGAAGGGCUUGCAAGCAGACACGAGUUCGCUCGGGCCAGCAUCAAUUUCGCGAGGUGGACAACACGCCAGGAAUGUGGCAGGCUCCGGCCUGUGUUAUAGCCUGCGCGCCAUACACCUCCGCGAGAUUGAGGCCUGCUCCAAAAGGAUGCUGGCGUAAUGGUUGCAAGUCGCCCGUCUUGAAMMACGGAMACAAAAUAU
rnacentral:rRNA from 1 species